rnacentral:lncRNA from 1 species
AAGACCCACCACCCUUUGUUUCUGCCUCCCUAGGGCCUGCCCUCCCUCCUGAGGCAGGUGUCUUUGGGGUCUGCCCUGAUCUUCCCAUCAGAGGCCUCAAGCACAGCGGGGAGCAGGCCGCUUCAAGGACACUCCACCCUGGAAAAUUCUGCCCCUUGGAGAAGUGAGCGGCUGGUUCCUCCCUUGUUCCUGCCUUCCUCCUCUGCUCUCCACCUCCGUGUGCAUCUCCUCCUCUGUUCUGGUUCACUCACCAGGGGCCUGCCCUUCUCGUCUGUUGCAGUGGUGUGGAGUCUUAGUUAUCCAGGAGAUUCAGCUAACACAGAACCUCAGCUUCCGGAGCUUUCCAGAAAUGAAAAUUAAGAUGCUUUUGUGGCCCCUGAAAGUACCAUGGGCAUAGGCUUGUGUCCCUGCGCCUGAUGGAGGUGGGCCCUGGACGGGGCCCUGGGAAGCUGGCUCUGGAUCAGAAGCAUCCCUGGGCUCAGGAUUAUUCGGAAAGUGCUACAACCUGGAACUCUCCCUCAGUAGGAAAAGCAACUUGUGCCAGCUGGUGGCUCGGGC